UACAGAGGUCUCAAGCGUUGUUCGGAUUCAUUGGGCGUAAAGGGUGCGUAGGUGGGCAGGUAAGUCAGUGGUGAAAUCUCCGGGCUUAACCCGGAAACUGCCAUUGAUACUAUCUGUCUUGAAUACCGUGGAGGUGAGCGGAAUAUGUCAUGUAGCGGUGAAAUGCUUAGAUAUGACAUAGAACACCAAUUGCGAAGGCAGCUCACUACACGAAUAUUGACACUGAGGCACGAAAGCGUGGGGGAUCAAAACAGG
rnacentral:rRNA from 1 species